CAAAACUCUCUCGCCUGCUCUCAGCUCCAGGGGCUGAAUAACAGCUUGCACCCACUGACAAGGGAGCCGGCAGAGGCAAGCGUGCAGCGGCCUGCCUGGGAGGCUGGCCACGGGCAGCACUGAGACUGAGGAGGAGGAAGAGGGUAGGCAGUGCCACCUCCUGGACCGGAGAAGACAGGCAGGCCUUAAGUUGGCCUCCCACAAGAUUUCAACAGUCCUCAAGCCACCACCUAUAAACGGGGGGCCUCUCCUCUCCCAGCGCAUUGCGCUCCCUCUCGGCUUCAAGCAUCUCUCGGAUUCCGACCAACAUCCAGCCAUGAAGAUCUUCUUCCUUCUCUCCAUCACCUUCCUCGUUCUGCUGCUGGUGGCACCAGAUUUCACCCAAGCCAAAAAAGGCGGUGCUACCAAAAAAUGUGCUGAGAACGGAGGGAGAUGUCUGCGUCGCUGUGGUGACGGACAAAAGGAGAUCAGUAAGUGCUCAGGGAAGAGGCGUUGUUGCAAGUAAGACCAGCCAUGCAUCAACUCUGAGGAAAGAGCACCUUUUCCUCUGAAGCGCACCUCCCUGGACCAUGCUGUGCAUUUCUGCUUGGGAAGAAACCAUCCUGCUUGCUGCUGAAGACAAGUCUGGAAAGGAUUGAUUAGAGCGCAACUUCUUAUGCCUCUUUACUUGGGACUAAGUCUUCCUGCGUUCAGCCUGAAUUUGGCCUGCCUGCUAAAAUGCUCUCGCUUUUCUUUUUAAUAAAUGCAAGCGUUUGAAACCA